rnacentral:rRNA from 1 species
UGAGGAAUAUUGGACAAUGGGUGAGAGCCUGAUCCAGCCAUCCCGCGUGAAGGACGACGGCCCUAUGGGUUGUAAACUUCUUUUGUACAGGGAUAAACCUUUCCACGUGUGGAAAGCUGAAGGUACUGUACGAAUAAGCACCGGCUAACUCCGUGCCAGCAGCCGCGGUAAUACGGAGGGUGCAAGCGUUAUCCGGAUUUAUUGGGUUUAAAGGGUCCGUAGGCGGAUCCGUAAGUCAGUGGUGAAAUCUCAUAGCUUAACUAUGAAACUGCCAUUGAUACUGCGGGUCUUGAGUAAGGUAGAAGUAGCUGGAAUAAGUAGUGUAGCGGUGAAAUGCAUAGAUAUUACUUAGAACACCAAUUGCGAAGGCAGGUUACUAUGUCUUAACUGACGCUGAUGGACGAAAGCGUGGGGAGCGAACAGG